rnacentral:lncRNA from 1 species
CCCGUGUCAUUGAAACACCGAAAUGGCUGAGAACCGAAGGGACGAAAGGACAAAUGAACAUGGAGGGUUAAACAAAUGAGAGAACCAGUGGGACAAAAACAGUCUAGCAAAAGUGUAAUUAUGGCUGGAACAGCUGCUUUCUUGAUCAAUGGUCCCUCAAGUUAAGACAAAAACGUAUGAAAAGUUAUACAAGGCGGUUCUUCUUAGUAUGAUUGUCUAGGCACCUUGCCAUCACUAUUCCUGUCAAAGGCAUUUGGAUCUUGUCCACUGAAUACACCGCUUUUACCAAACAUUCAUCUGGCGUAAUAUAAAAUUUCAUGACAGAAACAUUGCUUCUGUUUUAUGUUAUUACGUGUAAUGGAGGUGCAUACACACUGUUAAUCGUUAGGUUUGAUACAUCGUAUAAUUCUAACCAGAAUUUUACUAUUUUUGACUGUUACUUGCUUGUUAAAGUUCGUUGAUUUUACCAUUGAUAAAUUUGUUCACAAUGUGAAUAACUAUUUUACUCUAUUAAAAUAAAUCAUCACAAAUACUAAAUUUCCUUUAGCAGAAUGAGCAGUAUUGUCAUGUAAAAAGAUUAAAACAAAAGAAGUACAAUUAUGAAAAUACAUGUAGAUAGAAUUAUGACUCUUGUUCUUUCACUUUCCCUCACUGCUACCUAUCAUUAUACUAAGUGGUUACAUUAAAUUCCCUUCAGUAAAUCCUAUUGUUUGUUAAAGUGGUUCCCAUGCUUAACACUUCCUUUCAUUGCAGGGUAUUACUGUUUCAAGCAAAAUUAAAUUCAAAGCUAUUGUCUUAAAUGUUUAAAAAUGCGGCUGAAAAGCAAGAUAAUUUUAUUAAGAAUAGCAGUAGAAUUUAUGGGAUUCGUUAUGUGAAAUUGUUCCCAUGCAAUACCUCCAUUGAUUUCAUAGAUAUUCAAGGAGAAAAACAAUGCUACAUUUUCUAAGUCCAAAGUGUGGCGGAUGGGUUGGUAAUUUUGUUACAUUAAAAGACAGAGUUAUGGAACACAAUGUGCAGAUUUGCAUUUUUGAUCCUCAAGGUUUGUGUGAAGUUUCAAUACAAUGCACGUAUACAUUUCAGAAAUAUUAAAGCGAAUAUCAUUUUGGGACAUUUUCCAUGUGCACAAAACAAGAGAAACAAUGUUGUCAAAAGAAAUAAUCGGGACCUCUGUGUGUUGUCCUACAGCCUGGUUCAAGUUUCAAAGUAAUCUCUGUAUUGGUUCUAUAGAUUUUCAAGGUAAACAGUAUUGAAGAUAUAGGACGGGACAUUUCUUUGAGUGUAUAAUCAAAUGAUAUAAUUCUGUCAAAACAAAAGUGAAAGUUGCGGGAUCUGGUAUGUGAACUUGACAAAAUCCUUAACGCCUGUUCCAUAUUUCAAAAUAGUAUCUAUAUCGGUCCCAAAGAUGUUUAAAGGAAACAAUUCGGAACGGUGGGACAUGGCAAUGUGAUUUUAUAAAGCCCACCCGCCUCGUACAACGAAAAAGAAAAAACAAAACAAUCUCCUUAUUUGAUGUAGGUGUUGUGACGCCACGUAAUACACAUCUUACCCAAACAGGCAUUGUACAUAUAUAUUCCACUAAAUGUUCUCUGGACAUCGACCAAUGUUAGCUGUGUAACAACCAUUUUAU